AUUGAACGCUGGCGGCAGGCUUAACACAUGCAAGUCGAGCGGAGAUGAGGUGCUUGCACCUUAUCUUAGCGGCGGACGGGUGAGUAAUGCUUAGGAAUCUGCCUAUUAGUGGGGGACAACAUUCCGAAAGGAAUGCUAAUACCGCAUACGCCCUACGGGGGAAAGCAGGGGAUCUUCGGACCUUGCGCUAAUAGAUGAGCCUAGGUCGGAUUAGCUAGUUGGUGGGGUAAAGGCCUACCAAGGCGACGAUCUGGAGCGGGUCUGAGAGGAUGAUCCGCCACACUGGGACUGAGACACGGCCCAGACUCCUACGGGAGGCAGCAGUGGGGAAUAUUGGACAAUGGGCGGAAGCCUGAUCCAGCCAUGCCGCGUGUGUAAAGAAGGCCUUUUGGUUGUAAAGCACUUUAAGCGAGGAGGAGGCUACCUGGAUUAAUACUCUAGGAUAGUGGACGUUACUCGCAGAAUAAGCACCGGCUAACUCUGUGCCAGCAGCCGCCGUAACAC
rnacentral:rRNA from 1 species